rnacentral:rRNA from 1 species
UCGAGAAUCUUCGGCAAUGGGCGCAAGCCUGACCGAGCGACGCCGCGUGGAGGAUAAGGUCUUCGGAUUGUAAACUCCUGUUCAUGUGUGAACAAGGCUGUCGCGUUAAUAGCGUGGCAGAUUGAUGGUAACACAAGAGGAAGGGACGGCUAACUCUGUGC